UACGGAGGGUGCAAGCGUUGUCCGGAAUCACUGGGCGUAAAGCGUGCGUAGGCGGUUCGUUAUGUCUGCUGUGAAAGCCCCGGGCUUAACCUGGGAAUGGCAGUGGAAACUGGCGGGCUUGAGUGUGGCAGAGGGGGGUGGAAUUCUGCGUGUAGCAGUGAAAUGCGUAGAGAUGCGGAGGAACACCGAUGGCGAAGGCAGCCCCCUGGGCUAACACUGACGCUGAGGCACGAAAGCGUGGGGAGCAAACAGG
rnacentral:rRNA from 1 species